AUCCAGCUGGCGAGUUCCAAAUAGAACGGAACGUGCGUCCUAGAU
rfam:Schistosoma haematobium scaffold839_26, whole genome shotgun sequence.